AUUGAACGCUGGCGGCAUGCCUAACACAUGCAAGUCGAACGGAAACGAUGGGAGCUUGCUCCCAGGCGUCGAGUGGCGGACGGGUGAGUAAUACUUAGGAAUCUGCCCAUUAGUGGGGGACAACUAGAAGAAAUUCUAGCUAAUACCGCAUACGCCCUACGGGGGAAAGCGGGGGAUCUUCGGACCUCGCGCUAUUGGAUGAGCCUAAGUCGGAUUAGCUUGUUGGUGAGGUAAAGGCUCACCAAGGCGACGAUCCGUAGCUGGUCUGAGAGGACGAUCAGCCACACUGGGACUGAGACACGGCCCAGACUCCUACGGGAGGCAGCAGUGGGGAAUAUUGGACAAUGGGCGCAAGCCUGAUCCAGCAAUGCCGCGUGUGUGAAGAAGGCCUGCGGGUUGUAAAGCACUUUCAGUAGAGAAGAAAAGCUUACGGUUAAUACCCGUGGGUCUUGACGUUACCUACAGAAGAAGCUCCGGCUAACUCCGUG
rnacentral:rRNA from 1 species